GCUGACGCUCCCACCGCCUCCGCCCCCGCCAGCCCUGCCUGGAGCCGGGAAGUCGCUGCCGCCUGUGCCCAGCGCGGUCGGACCUAGCUCCUGCAGCCUUCGUGAGGCGAUUGAAGUUAUGUGGAGUGCCCUGCCUGCCCUGGUGCUAUGGGGGCUGUAGUCAGGAGGCAAGGAGGAGCAAAGGAGGAGAAUAUUGCCUCAUCUGCUCACAACAAGCCAGGCCACCUGGCAUGGGAGCGGUAUGGGCAUAGCAGAGAGCAUGUGAAUCACCCUGGAUGUGCAGUUCUGUGAAGAAGAGGUGUGUGUUUGUGUUGGAAGUGCUGUAAUGGGUGGUACACUGAGACUUCUACCUGCUUACCAUGACUGGUAUUCCCUGUUCUGCAAGACCGGGAGAAAAAGAGCGUAUCCAAUGAAACAGAUCUUUGGAUUUUGGAUCUCGAGGUGACCUUGACUCCACAAAUCUGCUGAACAAUUAAAUUACAGAACAGUUGGUUGCUUCUUUGUUUGUGUGGCAAAAGAUUAUGGAAUAAGAUAAAAGAAGCAUUCACAACCUA